rnacentral:lncRNA from 1 species
UGGGAUUAAAGAGCAGCAGUAACACCGGACAGAGUGGAAGUGAUGGCUUUGGUCCGGGGAGACCGGGGCCAGUGGGGGAAGGACGUCAGGGAGUGGAAAAGGGAUUGGGGAAAGAAGGAGUACUGAGACCUAAGAAUCCUGCCCCAACCAAAAAUGUACAGGAGAGAAAUGAAGACGAGAAGCCGCCCGGCUUCCUCCCAACUGGAAGAAAUUUUCGAAGGAGAGUCGGGGCUCGCCGCCGCCGCUGCCUUAUGCCUCGCUGCCUUUUCCUGGUGCCGACUCCACGCACUGCCUCGUCCUCACAAGAGACCACUGAACGGGUGUCGGGGAAAAUACUCUUCAGAACCAGGCCUGAUUGCUUCAACGAGUCCGACCUUUACGGCUGAAAGAGAGACUAUCAGCUUUCGGUGGGUUCCACAGCCAGACGGGCCACCAUCUUACAUUAGGGUAAGACUCCUCCGGCCUUCCGUGCGCAGGCGCACGCCGAUCGGGCCGGGAGGGACGGGGGAGGGGCGGGAGGAGCGGCUGGCGACCGAGUGGGAGGUUGCGGCAGCCGCGUCCGCGGCACCCUGGGAGUUGUAGUACUCAGAGGUCAACCGUCCAGCUGCAAGCCGGGAGUUGAAGUUCUAACUCCGAGGGCUGACGGGAUCGCCCACCUCACGUGGCUGUUAGAGUGCUGGCUAUCUUCGUGUUUUGCUCCUGUCUCUGUCCGCCUGGGCUGCUCAACUGUCAUUUGGUCGGCGGAAUUCGUUAGUUGUUCCGUUUCCUUGCUAUUUGCUGAAAUAUGGGAUACAAAACUUGGGCAAAUGUGGGGAGGGGAAAGCCGAGACCAUCUCUACUCUGCCCCGCCUAUCACAGAUCUGAAGGAGGCGGGGUCUAGAGACAGGUAUUGGAUAGGAGGAGCGCGGGAUUUGAUCUACGGUGAGAUUUGAUACUGAGUUGGCCUUCUUUGCGGAAAGUCAGCGUUUACUCGUUUCCCCAUCUUUGCGCUAUUUGGAGAAACUGUUCUGUAGCAGUAACCACCCUAAAUCCCAUCCUCACCGUAAAUCUGCAGGAAGAAAAGACCCUAAAUUGUCCUAGGCACGUUGUACACAAGACCUAAAGACUCAUGCAUGUACAAAAAUAUGUUUCUAAUGAUGUAAAUUUGAGAUUAUUAUGCAGACUUCGGUGCAAAUUAUUGCUAGUUCGAUAUCCUCCCCUGCACGGCUUUGAGUCAAGUUCGCAAACUCCUCACACAUCAACACAUCCCAAAGAAGGUAAGAAUGCAGACGCAAUUCCUAGGAGAGCCGGGGUUUCCCUCAGUCGCCAAAAUCAGUCAAUUUACUGGUCUUUCCUGCUUCCCUCCUAGAAUUCUGGUGGAAGUGGCACUCGAAGCAGUCAUUUUUGGCUUAUUGCGUGUAUUCUUCAGCUAUUCAUACAAGUGCUCUCUGAGCUCCACCUGUGUGCCCCGCAUUGUUCUAGAUAGUAGGAAUACAACAGUGAGCAAAACGGUUGAAAUUCACUGUCCCCAUUCUAGCAUGUUUGUUGAGGAGAGAGAAAAGGAGACAAAUGAAAUUUUAAAUUAUGGGAUUAAGAAUCUAUAGUAUGUCAGAACUAUUAAGGGCAAACUUUAAAACAGGAAAGAGGAGUAGGGAAAGAGGUUGCAAUUUUAAGUGUGAACUUAGUCUGACUUUAUUUUUAAUACAAAUUAGUCCUUUGUGUUUCCAUUUUUUUCACUACGAAGCCUAGACAAUAAUUAUUUAGUUGGAAAAUGUGUAGUUAUAAAAUGUAUAAACUCAAAUUUUACCAAAAAUUUGAAAUUAUAGAAUCAUGGAAUGAUUACUUAACAAGGAAACUUGGGAAAUGAUUUGGACUCACUUUCAGGUAGCUAACUGCCUAAAUAUUCAGUAUAGAUUAUGUGUGUUUUUUAAUGUGUUUAUUUUUCUUGUAGGUGACCGAUUUCAUAGUGUAAUAAAAACAAAGAAAUGAAAAGAAUGAAAUUGAAUGAAUCCUCUCUAUUAUUGCAGAUUAGAACCACAGCAGUAAGAACUGGAAGGAAUUUUAAGCAUCAUCUAAUCCAGUGGUUUAUAACCUUACCUUACCAACACCCUUUCAAAUAUAACAAAUACUGUCAUACUACCCUUUAUUAUACUAAAAUGAAAUUUAUAGAAAAUAUAACCUACCUACAAACAUACAAGAUUUUAAGUCAAAAUAAUAUCCUAUUUAUAAUAUAAAAAAGUUCAAAGAAAAUAAUUUAUAAUAAGGUGGUUUGUAUGUCAAUAUAUAAAUGCUCAGGCAUGACUAUGCUAGAAAAUAUAAUGAAGUCAUCCUUUGCUUGCACUUAUAAAAUAAAAUUCUCAUAAAUGUGAUAGCUACAAAUACCAACUGACACAGAUGUGGUGUUUGGCCACCUCUGGUGGACAACAUUCAUCUUUCUUCACUGUUCAUAGUAGAUUCAUUCCUAAAAGCUUCACUGUAUAUUAUAACC